AUCAUGGCUCAGGAUGAACGCUAGCUACAGGCUUAACACAUGCAAGGUCGAGGGGAAACGAUAGAGAAGCUUGCUUUUUCUAGGCGUCGACCGGCGCACGGGUGAGUAACGCGUAUCCAACCUGCCCAUCACUUGGGGAUAACCUUGCGAAAGUAAGACUAAUACCCAAUGACGUCUCUAGAAGACAUCUGAAGGAGAUUAAAGAUUUAUCGGUGAUGGAUGGGGAUGCGUCUGAUUAGCUUGUUGGCGGGGUAACGGCCCACCAAGGCGACGAUCAGUAGGGGUUCUGAGAGGAAGGCCCCCCACAUUGGAACUGAGACACGGUCCAAACUCCUACGGGAGGCAGCAGUGAGGAAUAUUGGUCAAUGGACGAGAGUCUGAACCAGCCAAGUAGCGUGCAGGAUGACGGCCCUAUGGGUUGUAAACUGCUUUUAUAAGGGAAUAAAGUGAGUCUCGUGAGACUUUUUGCAUGUACCUUAUGAAUAAGGACCGGCUAAUUCCGUG
rnacentral:rRNA from 1 species